rnacentral:rRNA from 1 species
UACGGAGGAUGCAAGCGUUAUCCGGAAUGAUUGGGCGUAAAGCGUCCGCAGGUGGCAAUGUAAGUCUGCUGUCAAAGCGUCUGGCUCAACCAGAUAAAGGCAGUGGAAACUACAUAGCUAGAGUAAGGUAGGGGUAGAGGGAAUUCCUGGUGUAGCGGUGAAAUGCGUAGAGAUCGGGAAGAACAUCGGUGGCGAAAGCGCUCUACUGGACCGCAACUGACACUCAGGGACGAAAGCUAGGGGAGCGAAUGGG